UGGAAAACCCCCAGACUGGCAAGACUUUGUCGGUAUUGUAGUGCUGCUCGUGAUAAACUCCACCAUCAGUUUCAUUGAAGAAAACAAUGCUGACAAUGUUGCUGCUGUGCUGCAGCUCUUAUGGCUGGCCUGGCUCCAAAAAUGAAGGUGCUCAGAGAGUCAGAGUGGUAAGAUUGUAUUUGUUUUGCCCUUUUUUGAAAGAGUGUGUUUUGAAGGACCCUUAGAAUUUGUGAGACAUUGAGGUUGCCUUAUGAUUCAUGAUGUUGUAAUCGGUGGUUUCUUUUCCAUUUGCAAGUAGUCGAGCAUUGGUAUUUGGUAUUUA